rnacentral:misc_RNA from 1 species
UAUUCUGUUACCGCGCAUCUUCAUUGCGCAGUGUGAAUGGCGUCCGGUUGUUAUUGUUCAAAGCGUAUAAAUUGUUUUAAAGAAAAUUAUGUGCUUUAUACCAAAUAACUUGUGUUUAAAUGUUUGUUAUUGCUUCGUGUGUGUUUAAUUAAUUGAUCGUUAGUGUUUUGUAAAAGACCAGAAAGGUGUUAUAUGUGUGGAAAGUGUGUCACACAAAAUGGGUUAUUCAAGUUGAGCCUUCUGUAAGUCACCCUUAUUUUUCGGGAUGUAACUAAAAGAAAAACAUCUCAGUGAGUACUCCUGUACAUAGACAUCAUGGAAGAGUAAUUCUAGAUGGCAUUGGAAAGUGAUGGCUUUAGUGUUACUACAGUCGUCACUUGCGAAGGGGAUCUGUUAGAUCCCUCGUUUCCUAAACAGCUUAGGUGUGUGCUAGGAAGAUUAGAGAAUCUUUUAGGGGGGCACUUAUAUGUUUGCAAACUGGAGCCGUGGAACUCUGUUCGUGUUACGCUGUCUAUCCCUCGCGAGGCAGCCCUACGGCUGCGACAACUUGCCAGGGAAGGCUCACAGCAACUACGUGCCUUGGGCAUUUUAAGUGUUCAAGUCGAGGGAGAUCAAGUUAUUUCCUUACGCCUAGCUGGACCCGAUAGACAAGAAAUUGUUCUGCAAACUGUUCAACAAGAUGAAGGUAGUAGCAGCAAUACCAAUGCAACUUCCGAUGGGGGAUUAUCAAGAUUACUGUCGGGAGAAGUUCAAGUGCCAACGAAUUCUGUAUCUUCGGACAAGAUGCAGUUUCGUUCUCCCAACGUCGUGUGUCCACCGGAUAGUGUAGUUCCUAAAGUGCCUACACCGGGGGCCAUACAAUCGACGUUGUCAUCGUCCAGACUGCAGUCAGGACCUUUUCCUUUUACGAGCAUGAAUCAGGCGAUUCAGAGCCGGGAGAACAGCUCACUAGGAGGAGGAGGGACAGGUGGAAACGUGAGCACGUCAACUUCUUUCACACCACCACCACCUUAUCCUGGUAAACAUCCACCGGUGACGUUGUCGAGUCCGUUGCUUGUCAAUUUGCUUCAAAAUGACGGAACUUCUGCGACCACGACGACGACGACAAAAUCAGAUGUAGAAGGAUCGGGUAAAAUUCAAGCAAACGGUUCUAUGUUGCACCCGAACGUCUCAAAAAGCCUUACUCAAAUUUCCACUGUAAAAAGUCAUCCGCCUCCACCAUCACCUUCAUCAUCAUUCGCGCCGAAAACGAUCCCGAGCGUUCCUGCACGAACAACAGGCGUCUAUUCUGCGUCAGCUGUGACCGUUCAAAAUCAUAUUCCACCACCACCGCCUCCCCUUCAUCCAAAGAUCGUACAUUCACAACCGACCGUUACCGUAAACAGUAGUCUCAAUACGGACACCUGUUACAAACAACUAGUUCAUCAUCAGCGAAUCAAUAGUAAUAGUGUUAGUGCUUCAUCAAACAAUGCAAAAGUGCCCGCGCUUGUCUCGAACAGUGCCGUCGUUCAACAACAACAAACAACUAAUAAUUCGUUACCGGAUCGACAGUGUUCGACGAUGAUUGCGAAACCUAGUGCCGUUCUCCAAAACUCAGGUGAACUGGAACUGUCCAGUCAAUCGAUAGUUGCUAACAAAAUGCCACAACACACUGCACUCACUUCAAACAAUAAUAGUAGUAGUAGUGUCUCAUUAAUUCAACAGUCAUCCUCGAUCCUUGACGAUGCAAAAAGCAUUGCGUUUCGAUCGUGUUCGCCAAGUUUGAUGGACGAUUUGACUCCAACGUUAACGGAUUUGAAGGAAUCCGAUUUGGACCAGUUGUUACCAACUCUUGAACACGACAUUGCAAGUAGUCCACCAGAGCUGCCUGAGGUGUUCACCGACACCAAAGAUCGUCGUAAGUUUCUAAUCAAUCCACUGACGGGGGAGCUCGAAUUGCAAUCCAGCAGCGACGAGAGUGAAUGUGAUCCAGAUGAGCAGAUAAAAAAUGUGUUCACGGACCUGCCUUCACCUGCAGCGUCUGUUUCCGACGAUGACAUUGGUUCCUUAUCGAACCCAUCAACCACGACAAUGAUGGUAACUACAGCGUCGAAUCGAUUGCCGUUGGAUGCAACCACUGGAACUGCGUUGGAUCAUACCGGUAGCGACACGACAACAUCGGCGAAAAGUUCGAAACUAAAAAGUACAAAAGGGAGGCCAGAACGUUGCAUUGGCGGUCGUGAUUCUCCCAAAUUGAAACCGACUGAGAAAAUCAAAUUACGGUUGAAAUUGGAAAAAUCGGAACCAGUGAGCAGUGGGUACAAGGUCGAUGUGAGUUUUAUCAACACACCCCCGAAGAAAGCAACAACUUCAAACGUGAUAGCUACAGGUGAAGAAUUGCGUGUACCUCCACUUCACAUUUCACUAAGAGGUCGCAAUCAUGUUGUAAUUAACAAUAAAAAAAAGGUAAAAACAAAUGCAGAUGGUAACUUGAACAAACCGAAAGUUCGGAAAGCUCAAAUCGAGUUUAAGCCCAGAAAAGUGGGAGAAUCGGACAUGGAAUCGGACGAUCGCUCUUUAUCGCCUUUAAACAAAACUAAUAGCAGUGGCGAUUUUGCAAACACCAGUAAUAUACCGCCCGACCACACCAAAACCAGUGCCUUGGAUUCGAGAAAAAUCAGGAAGAUAAAAUCUGUACAAGAACACCGUGAACAAAACUUGCUUACGGGCGGUCACUUAGUCGAUCGAAGUAAAGAGUACGAACACCAAGUGGUUUACAAUACCCAUUUCAAAGAGAAAUUGAAAGAAAGACGAGGUAGCGAUUCGGAAUUGGCCCACAGCGCAAAACGGUUACUGGACAACAACGGAUUAAUUUCGGUUGAUAAGAAGAGGAGGCUCAGCCAGACAGACCACUUCGAUGAAUCUCAUCAGUCAUUAGUCGUGGGUUCGACCAACAUUGGUACAGUAUCAACACUCAGUCCAAAACCAAAAAAAGAGAAAUUGAAAGCAAAAGAUGGAAACAGCAAAGGUAAAGAGAUUGAUCGAAGUAAAAGUUAUGCGAAAAAUGUAGCUGAUAAACUUGCAAGCAAACAAGUCGCCCUUCCGACCGGUGAAAUUGACAUGGAAGCCAAAUUCAAACAGCGACUACUCGAAAACACUACGACAUCAGAUAAAGUACAUAAUAAUAACAGGUCGUACAGAACUACUGAAAAUAGUAACCUACAGAAGACGGACGAUGAGACAGAGAAUCUGGUGCCGAUAUUACCUAACCCGAUUCCGCACAAAGAUAAACCUCCUGAAAUAAUAGAUCAAAAGGCGGAUUUGACAGAGAAACAAGCCAGUCGGUCGCCAACUUCGGGUGGCCAGGGUGAAGAUAGCGGCAUUGAAAGCAUGGACGCUUUGAGCGAGAAAUCGCCAAACCAGGCCGGACAAAGUCCGCACGGUGAAAACAAAAAUCAAGUGCCUGACAUUCUGACUGAUAUUGAGGCGCAGUUAGCCAAAAUGGAGGGACUCAACGGUGAGGAAGAUAUGAACGAAAACAAACAGGACGGCACUACAAAACUAGAACAAUGUUGCGGUCUUACACCGUCGUCGGUCUCAGUAGUUCCAGAGCAACAGAGUAAAGAAACGCCUGGGACGGGCGUAGACCUUAUACCUGAUGGGAAAGACGACGAUUUGGACCCUUUACCAGUUCGUGUAACACCGCCCUUAUACACGUAUUCGAACGCCGAAAAAUCGGUAACGGUACGAAACGACGCUGAGAGUCCUACGUUCGAUUCGGACAGCAACUCGUGUCCGGUCGCUUUAAAGAGUAAAAGUCUUCUCGAACAACUCCUGAUAGAUAUUCCAGACAGUCAGACGCCCAGUUCGCCCAGCCCCGUGACACGAUCGCUGCGAACGCGAGCCUGUUCGAAACUGAACAGUCCUGAACUACUAAAUUCGCCUCCCGUGUCACGUGACAACCAAAAAUUGAAGAACGUCGUCGCGUCGGUUCCAGUGGCGACGGCAGCGACGCCGGCCGUCGCCAAACGAAAGAGACAUGAGUCGGAAAAUUCGAUCAACGCCGAUGACGCGUCUGUUCGCAGCAACAGCAAAAAGACGCGUAAAUGUUCAGAGAACGCUACGGAACUCAUCAAAGCUUGUAUGGGGGUCGAGACGCCGACAAAGUCAACGAUUCCAGUUGUGGUGGUUGGCAGGGAGAAGAAAAUAACGACGACGAUGACGACGACUACCACAACUGCCGGAUCAGGUGGAGGAAACAGCGGUCGGUUGAUAGCGGACGAAAGUUCGGACAGCGACGAACCUUUGAUCGAGGUAGCAGGCAAGGUGCGGAAGAACAACAACAUCGCCAGCAGUGGUGUAAGUGUCGGUAUCACGCCUAAAACAAAAACGAAACUGGCAACGUCAAUCCAAACGCCUGCAACUACAAUUAAUAAAACUGGGUCUAUAAAUACACGGCGUUCCGUUCGUGCUACGCCUGCGCUGAACACGCGAAGUAAGGGUGACAGGGUGCAGCCUGAUGCCGAAGUUUUACGGCGAAAAACUAGGAGUUCAGUAACGGAGGGCGAAAGCAAAAGGCGGAAAGACGUGAAGUGACGAUGCCUGGGAGGCUGCACUUGCUGCAGCCCUCUACCGCCUGCCCCCGGCCACGAGUUGCUGCGGUCCAUAUACGUAACCCGUACCGAAGUGCAGCCUUGAAUACUCACGGCAAUAGUACAAAAAGUCGACGGACUUUUGUAUAGAUUGUGAUAUAAGUAUAUAAUACACUACUUGUACAUAUAUAACAUAGCUAGAGAAUUGUACAUAGAGCCGUGUCGUUUAGUCACAUGGAUUUAUAAAUAUAUGCAUAUAAAUUAUGUAUAGAGUAUAAUAUUUGUAUUUUACACGAGAUACAUAACACAUAAAUACACCACCACCAUUACCACUGCAACCACAACCAUCUACCAGAAACAACUGCAUAUAAGUACCUAUUGAUUGAUGUCCACACCUGAUUGAUUAAUUUAGGUAGCCUUUAUAAAUUAAAUAAUGAUAAUAACAACGGUGAUGAUAUAUGAUAUAACACUAAUGAAAUGAUGAUGAUAUGUGGUUGGGUGAUGGUGAUUCUUGCAUUUUUUGCUACCGCUGCUAUACUAUUACUACUACUACUGCUACAACGUAGAGAACUUUGGACGUUUUAUUUUUAUGUAUAUUUUUUAUAACGAUU